rnacentral:rRNA from 1 species
CUAGCUGUAAACGAUGGAUACUAGGCGUUGAGAGUAUCGACCCUCUCAGUGUCGUAGCUAACGCGUUAAGUAUCCCGCCUGGGGAUUACGCGCGCAAGCGUGAAACUCAAAGGAAUUGACGGGGGCCCGCACAAGCGGUGGAGUAUGUGGUUUAAUUCGAUGCAACGCGAAGAACCUUACCAGGGCUUGACAUGUCCGGAACCCUGCCCAAAGGCGGGGGUGCCUACGGGAACCGGAACACAGGUGGUGC